UUAAGUUCAGCGGGUCCUCCUACCUGAUCCGAGGUCAACCUAGUGCUUGAGAAGAGGCUGUUUUACGGCCGGAACCCGCGGCACGCCCUGAGCGAGGUUUAUUGCUACUACGCUCGGUGUGCCCGCGAGCCCGCCACUGCAUUUCGGGGCCUGCGGGCAGCCGCAGUUCCCCAACACAAGCCGGGGGCUUGAUGGUUGAA
rnacentral:misc_RNA from 1 species